UCAUUUGUAACAGGACACAAUUGGAGAAACUGGUUAUUUUACCAAGGCUUUGACUGGAAUGGUGUGCUUUCCUUUAAGGAAUCAAACUUGACUUAUGGAGCCAAUAUAAGCCCCUUGGAAAAACUGGCUUCAUACCUUUGUCUGUACAGUCCCUGUACAAGGUUCCUGACCUGUGGACAUGCCUUUUGCCUUCUGCCAUGAUUGUGAGGCUUCCCCAGCCACGUGAAACUGAUAUGAGACUUCACAACCUGCUGAAAAUGAGCUUUCCUAGUAACUCAGGACCUACGCGUCUAGGAAUAAACUAUCCCAAACAUGAAAGAUCAGACAAAAUUUAUCAGUCCAGAGAAUGAACUCUUGUGAACAAAGGAAAGGGAGAAAUGAAGCUUGGGAUUGGGAGUAAAUGUGUUAGAGGCUAAGAGGUGGAAAUGCUGGCCUUCUAUCCACUACGGGGACCUACCACCCAAAGAGCACACCAUCACAAGGGCCUCGUAUUCUCACUCACAUUCACAAAUAGAGACAUGCAGA